rnacentral:rRNA from 1 species
AUGAAGAAACCAGCCUGGAAAUCUCGGAGACACGCAUUUUGGGCCGGCCCAUUUAGCUACCGAAGGAAAACAUGUAGGCCCAGUCCCAGUUUCCUUUUCGCCCAACCGCUAGUAGGCCUCACGUCGCAGUCCCUUCCAGCCCAAACCAAAAAUUCCCAAUCUCCGGUGGCUCCUCACCGCCGGCUCUUCCACGGACGAAGCGCUCUCGCCGCUGGGGACCUCCUCCCGCGCGCCGGCAGCGUUGCGGAGAAGCCUCUCCGCCCCCAGCCCACCGCGGUGUCACCCUCAUCGUCUCCCAGGAAGCCCGCCUCGCCGCUGCCGAUGGUCGCCGCGCAGGAGCCGAGGGAGGAGUGCCCGCCGGACCUCAGGAGCGGGCUCUUCAGCGCCGACGACUCCCGCACGUGCAGCCCCAAGCAACUGGACGACGAAGAUAGGCUCAGCGCUCUCACUGAUGAUAUUUUACUGACUAUCUUGGGGAGAGUCAGUUCACUUGUGGCUACAAGGACAAGUGUGCUCUCUACACGGUGGAGGCGUCUGCCUUGGUUGCUGCCUGAACUCAGCAUCGAUGUCCAGGAUUUCCUAUCCGCCCCUUUCGCUGACCUUGUUGAGGCAAAUGAUAUGGAACAAGCCAUGGCGUCUUUGACCAAAGCAACCAGGAGUUUGUUGGAUAAACAACAGAGAGGAUACCCUAUCUCAAGUUUGUGCCUUAACCUCUAUUUGAUCAACACUUUCCUUUGCGAAGUUGGCCCACUGUUAGGUGAUGCAAUCGACAGUGAUUUGUUGAAAGAUUUGGAUCUCGGCAUUCUUGAUGAGACACGGAGUCUCGACCGUAGUGACGAAGAGAUGCAACAGAGAACUCAAGACAUAGAUGAUUUUUUCACUGCCCACCCUAGUGUGCUCCACUGCCUCACAAGGCUCUUUCUAAAAAAUGUAGGCUUUGACAAAUUGGACAUGCACCGUGUCCUGUUUGACUGCUGCAAGCAACUUAAGCAUCUAACCCUUUAUUAUUGUGAUACUGGUUCCUACUCUGUCUUUAAGAUUGAUGCACCAGGCUCAAAACUCUGUGUUCUUGAAAUUGAGAAGUGUCGCUUUCUGAGAAUCGACCUUGUCUGCCUCCCUAAAUUGGAGAAGCUCUUUUGCGAGUCUUGGAUAUCUCGGCCUGCCCCGUUGACCUUUGGUUUUGUCCCAGCACUUGGGCAAUUAAUACUCUCAUGUGGUUCAGUUUGUGAGGAACACAUAUUUAAAUUAAGUGAGCUUCUACAUGGAGUAACAAGCAUACACACUCUCACAUUGGAUUUCCAAGGUGAAACCCUUUGGUUGGAACCUGAAAUGGAGGAACUCCGCACCUCAUUCAGCAAGCUAAGGAAGCUGUACGUAUGGGAGCAUACAUGCGAUGUGGGUGAGGCCAGACCCGCUUCCUACCUUGACAGAAGGAGUCCAAAGUGGGAAAUGCACUUGGAUAGCAGCUCCGAGAACAAGCUUCUGAAAGAGCUAGAAUUCGCUGGAUUUAAAUCGCAAGAACAACAAUUUACAUUUAUAAGGUCCAUGUUGGAGCGAUCUCGCAACUUGCAAAAGAUAGUUCUGAGAGAUGAGGAGCAGUGCGGUGACUGCGACACCCUUGAGGCACCUCGUCCUUCGAGAUUUCCACAUAAGGAGGAGCAAGAAGUGGUCGUUAAGCGGAUUAGAGAUGGCAUGUUCUCGCCGGAGAUAAUUUUUCACAAAUAA